rnacentral:rRNA from 1 species
GGCGGACGGGUGAGUAACACGUUAGGUAACCUACCCAAGAGAGGGGGACAACUCAGGGAAACUUGGGCUAAUACCCCAUAAGACCACGUGCUGGGAAGCAUGAGGUAAAAGGUAGCAAUACGCUCAUGGAUGGGCCUGCGGCCUAUCAGGUAGUUGGUGAGGUAACGGCUCACCAAGCCAAAGACGGGUAGCCGGGCUGAGAGGUUGGACGGCCACACUGGAACUGAGAUACGGUCCAGACUCCUACGGGAGGCAGCAGUGGGGAAUAUUGCACAAU